rnacentral:rRNA from 1 species
AGCAGCCGCGGUAAUUCCAGCUCCAAUAGCGUAUAUUAAAGUUGUUGCAGUUAAAAAGCUCGUAGUUGAAUUUCGGGGUCAGUAGAUUGGUCGUGCCACUGGUAUGUACUGGUUUACUGGCUCCUCCUUCCUGAUGAACCGUAAUGCCAUUAAUUUGGUGUUGCGGGGAGACUGGACUGUUACUUUGAAAAAAUUAGAGUGUUUAAAGCAGGCUAACGCUUGAAUACAUUAGCAUGGAAUAAUGAAAUAGGACGUUCGAUCUUAUUUUGUUGGUUUCUUAGGAUUGACGUAAUGAUUAAUAGGGAUAGUUGGGGGCAUUAGUAUUCAAUUGUCAGAGGUGAAAUUCUUGGAUUUAUUGAAGACUAACUACUGCGAAAGCAUUUGCCAAGGAUGUUUUCAUUAAUCAAGAACGAAAGUUAGGGGAUCGAAGACGAUCAGAUACCGUCGUAGUCUUAACCAUAAACUAUGCCGACUAGGGAUCGGAUGAUGUUAAUUUUUAAUGACUCAUUCGGCGCCUUAA